CAUGAGGACACAAUGGUAGUAGGUGGCUGGCAGUUAGGAGGGUCCACUCGAGGAAGGUAACCGUGAGACUGUAGAAGCUGGAAUAACAAUUUAGACCAAUGGUCAGGCAUGGUGGCUCACGCCUAUAAUCCUAGCACUUUGGGAGGCUGCAGUGGGAGGAUCACUUAUCCCAAGAGUUUGAGACCAGCUUGGGCAACAUAGGGAGACCCUGUUUUUACAAAAAAAAAAUGUUUUUUAAUUAGCCAAGCAUGGUGGUGCAUGCCUGUAAUCCCAGCUACUCAGGAGACUGAGGCAGGAGGAUAGCUUGAGCCUGGGAAUUCAAGGCUUCAGUGAGCUGUGAACCCACUACUGCACUCCAGCCUGGGUGACAGCAAGACUCAGACAAGAAGGAAGGAAGGAAGAAAGGAAGGAAGGAAGGAAGGAAAGAAGGAAGGAAGGAAGAGAGGGAGGGAGGGAGGGAGGAAGGGAAGAGGGAGGGAAAGAAAGAGAAAGAAAGGAGAAAAAGAGAAAGAGAAAAAGGAAGGAAGGAGGGAAGGAAGAAGGAGGAAGGAAGGAAGGAAAAGAGUGAAAGGAAAGGAAAGGAAAGAAGGAAGGAAGGAAGGAAGGAAAGAAAGAAAGAAAGAAAAAAGAAAGAAAAAGAAAAAAAGCACUUAGACCAAGAUCAUUGGGGCCAUUUAGUUCAAGGGCCCAUUGUACCUAACCUUACAGCUAUGUAAGGAGGCCCAAAUGAAACAAGACUGGUAAUAGCUAAUGUUUAUUAAGUCCUUAAUCUAGCCACCAUGUUAAGUGCUUUACAUGCAUUAUUUCAUUUAAUUAUCACAACCACCUUAUGAGUUAAAUACUAUUAGAAUCCCCAUUUCACAAAUAAGAACAUUAAAGGCCAUAGAAGUGAAUGAGUUAGCAUAAAGUCACAGGGCUAAUAGUGUUGGAGCUGUCUGAUUUCAAAGACUGUGUUCUUAGUCCCUGAACUGCUCACACCUGUAACCCCAGCCCUUUGGGAGGCUGAGGCAGGAGGAUCAUUGGAGCCCAGGAGUUUGAGACCAGCCCUGGCAACACAGACAGACCACUGUCUUUACAAAAAAUAAACAAAAAAUUAGCCAGGUGUGGUGAUAUGUACCUGUAGUCCCAGCUACUUGGAAGGCUGAGGUGGGAGGAUUGCUUAAGGCUGGGAGGUUGAGGGUACAGUGAGCAGUGAUCAUGCCACUGCACUCCAGCCUGGGCAACAGAGUGACACUGUCUCAAAAACAAACAAAAAACAAACAACACCCCACACCCCACCCAUCAACCAAGUACCUGACCCAGUUUCCGGUGAAGCCAUUUUUCUCCCUCAACCCAUUUCUCAAUAAUGCUGAGGAUAUCACUGAAACUCAACACAGGUCAUGUAGAAGUUGCUGAAGAUUUUGGUAUUUUUUAGUUAAUUGAUCAUGAGAUUAAUACAUUCCCUAUAUCCUGAGAGUUUGAAGAAAUGGGAGAAACUGCAAAGCCAAGUAUGUAUAUUAGGGUUAACAGCACAGUAAUUAAGAGCUCAGAUUUUAUUAGCCGGGCAUGGUGGUGUGCGCUUGCGGUCCCAGCUACUCAGGAGGCUGAGGCAGGCAGAUGGAUUAAGGCUGGGAGGUCGAGGCUGCAGUGAGCUGUGAUUGCGCCACUGCGCUCCAGCCUGGGUGACAGGAGACCAUCUCAAGAAAACGAAACAAAACAAAAACCCUUGGCUGGGCAUGGUGGCUCAUGGCUGUAAUCCCAGCACUUUGGGAGGCCGAGGCGGGUGGAUCCCCUGAGGUCAGGAGUUCAAGACCAGCCUGACCAACAUGGUGAAACCCCAUCUCUAGUAAAAAUACAAGAAUUAGCUGGGCGUGGUGGCACAUGCCUAUAAUCCCAGCAACUCUGGAGGCUGAGGCAGGAGAAUCGCUUGAACCCUGAAGGCAGAGGUUGCAGUGAGCCGAGAUCAUGCCAUUGCACUCCAGCCUGGGCAACAAGAGCAAAACUCCAUCUCAAAAAAAAAAAAAAACCCUCAAACUUUGAUGCCUAUGUCCCAGCUUUGCCAAAUUCUUGCUGAGAGCCUGAUGAAAUCGCUUCUUGAAGCCUGUUUCCUCCUACAUAAAAUGAGGCCAAUGCCACCUGAGCUGGUGGGGUUACCAUGAGAAGUAAGUGAAAUGAUGCAUGUCAGCCCAGAGCACAGUCCUGACACACAGCGACAAUCAUCCUCAGCACCCUCAUUGUCACUGUGCCCUGCAGCUAUGGCCAGGGACAGCUGCCCUCUGCACCUGGCUAUGAUGGGAUAGAAAGUGAGCUUCCUAAUGAGGAUGAGUCCCAAACAUACAGUAUGGCCUCUCCUGUCCCUCUGUCACUUUGUGAGCCUAGGGAUAAGUGGUGCUCCAGAAAAAAAGGGGGUAGAUGAAGGUCCCCACAAGGUCAAGACACGGAGUUGGAAUCCAUCAUUUGACAUUUCAAGAGCCCAAUAGAAUUUUUGAGGAAGGACAAGAGGGGCAGCUGUGUCAGAAUGCACAGUGGAAGGGGCUCGGGGAUUGCAUUAGGGACACAGCAAGAAUCCAACCAGCCUUAGUCUGAAGUCCAGGAAGUGGAAGGGAUAUUUACUUACCUUCCUUCCUAACUGGCUUGCCAUCCCAUGCACAGAAACUUCACAUUAUACCACUAGGAGGCCUCCAUAGGCACAGAGUCUUGCAGCGGGAUGGGGAAUGAGAAGAUGCCAAAGAAACCCAAGACAGGCCGGGCGCGGUGGCUCAUGCCUGUAAUCCCAGCACUUUGGGAGGCCGAGGCGGGUGGAUCACGAGGUCAGGAGAUCAAGACCAUCCUGGCUAACACAGUGAAACCCCGCCUCUACUAAAAAAAAAAAAAAAAAGAAAAGAAACCCAAGACAUCCUCUUUCUGGAAAAGAUUCACUAGGAUGCAAUUUAUCAGCACAUGUCAGUUAUCAUCAGGAUUUCCUUGCUUAUCUAAAGGCCAUUUAUGAAGUAUCCUUCAGGCCCCUGGAAGCUAACCAAAAACCAGAAUGAGAGACCAAAGGCCUUGUGAUACCCCUUCUGGAGCAGUCAGAGGAUUACGAAGCCCAUGCGCUAAAGGUGACAUACUUUAGCUGCAAGGGAGUCCCUAAAACCCUUGCUCACUGACUGCCUUGUUUUCCCUUAGACAGAGUUUUAAAUAAUGUGGCUGAUUUAUCAGUCCAUUGCGCAUCGAAAGUCAUAAACUUGAAGUGGCCAGGGAGGGCUGCUAGGGGCUGGUGCGUUGAAGAGCGAUGGUUGCAGCCUGACCACAAAUGAGACAACACCAACUCUGAACAGCAACGCAGCACAGGGGGCAACCCCAUGCAAGCCAAACAGCUUUCUGCACCUUCCUAGAUCAGAGGACACCACUUCUCUGACAUGAGACCUGGUCACAAAUAUUUUGGCUUUCUUGGGAUGUUAGGAAUGGCCACAGGACGUGCUUUGGCUUAUGACACAUGAAUAGAAAUAACGAGAGUCACUCCCGGGCAGAAGCUCUCAGAGCUAGCGGGUGAUUCAUCAGGCUUUCUUCCUGUUCCACCAUGGUGAACAGCAACACUUUCUGAUAAUGGCAGCUCUACCAGCCUGGAUCCUAGAGUGAGGAUAAAAAUGAUGCAGAGCAGAGCCUGCAGCCGAUCAAAGAGCACAAGUGGCAUGGGCAAGAAAUAAACUUUUGUUGCUUUUGGGAUUGCCUGUUACCACCAUACAACCUAGUCUAUCCUGACUGGAACAUCCUAAAAGGUUGAACGAGGUCAGCUCACUUUGAUUAAAAAGUGUGUGUAUUAUCUUUUUGGUAGAUUACCAUUCAAAAUAAUCAAUAUUAUAUUUUGCUGCCUCUAGGAUAAUUUUCAAUUAUAUGGAAAAUUCACAUACUCUAGUGUUUGCUGGAUAAAUGAGUGAUUACCAGAACAUGAAUUGAAUGAAGGAAAGGGAUCUAGUUUCUGGAACACUCCCUUCACUAGGGAGGCUCCAGGUCUCUUGUUCAUGGUUUUGUAAAAUUUACCUGUGUUAUUUAUGGAGCUAAGGUAGAACCUGGGUCUCACAUGCUGCUACUGCCAGAACCGGCCUCUCAGCAUUUGUGGAAUCAGCACAAGGGUGGCGUAUGCUCAGGAUUGGCCUACGGCUGGUUCUGCAAGUGCUGAGGGUCUCUGGUGCCCAUGUGGUAGUUGGAAGGCCCCAUUAUAUAUCUGUCUGUGCUCUCAUAGAAGGAAAUCUAUGGGCUCGGCACGGUGGCUCAUGCCUGUAAUCCCAGCCCUUUGGGAGGCCGAGGCAGGUGGAUCAUCUGAGGUCAGGAGUUUGCGACCAGCCUGACCAAUAUGGUGAAACCCCAUCUCUACUAAAAAAAUACAAAAAUUAGCUGGGUGUGGUGGCGUGCACUUGUAGUCCCAGCUUCUCAGAAGGCUGAGACAGGAGAAUUGCUUGAAUCUGGGAGGCGAAGGUUGCAGUAAGCCGAGAUCAUGCUACUGCACUCCAGUCUGGGUGACAGAGUGAGACUGCAUCUCAAAAAAAAAAGACAGAAAUCUAUGAUGUGUUCUUGAGUAAAAGAGCAAGCCAACAACUUCUUCAGAAUAUAUAGUCUUUUUAAACAUACAUGGCACAUUUACAACAUUGAUCUCAUACUAGGCCAA
rnacentral:lncRNA from 10 species